rnacentral:rRNA from 1 species
UACGGAGGGGGCUAGCGUUGUUCGGAAUUACUGGGCGUAAAGCGCGCGUAGGCGGAUCUGCAGGUCGGGGGUGAAAUCCCGAGGCUCAACCUCGGAACUGCCUUCGAUACUGCGGGUCUCGAGUCCGGGAGAGGUGAGUGGAAUUCCUAGUGUAGAGGUGAAAUUCGUAGAUAUUAGGAAGAACACCAGUGGCGAAGGCGGCUCACUGGCCCGGUACUGACGCUGAGGCGCGAAAGCGUGGGGAGCAAACAGG